rnacentral:lncRNA from 1 species
CUGCAUUCUAAGAUUUCAUAUUGGUAGGGAUGAUACUGGCUUUUUAUUUGCCAGUUCUACAUAAACAGCUAUCAGAUUAUUAUAAAUUUAAGAGUCAAUCCUGGAGUGACGUGAGUAGCAGAAUGCCAAGUCUAUGAGUCACGUGAUAACUACUGGACAUGCACAUGAGAAUAUGACGAGGAUGGUGCCUUAGAAUGGGGAUUCUCAAUCUGAGGUAGGAAGACAUGAUGAGCCACAAAAUUCUUAUUACACAUUAAAAUGAAGAUUAAGAAUUACUGAUAGAAUUCAGAUUUGAAGGGGCAUAUGGUGUAAGUUUAGCCCAACCAAAGUGGAAAUGUUAACAGAAGGACGUGGCAGGCAUCCUACAGAGGCAGCUUAUCAUGAAUGCUGCUCAGCUUACUUUCUCAGAGAAUCCAGAAGUCACUACAAUAGUUGUUACUAACGGCUGGUCAAUGUGCUCCAGGAAAGGCUGCCCACAUUUGUCUUUUUGAUGGCUUCCAGCCAAUCAGCUUACCAAAGAAAAGUUAAACAAAACACAC